GACGAACGCUGGCGGCGUGCUUAACACAUGCAAGUCGAACGGAAAGGCCCUGCUUUUGUGGGGUGCUCGAGUGGCGAACGGGUGAGUAACACGUGAGUAACCUGCCCUUGACUUUGGGAUAACUUCAGGAAACUGGGGCUAAUACCGGAUAGGAGCUCCUGCUGCAUGGUGGGGGUUGGAAAGUUUCGGCGGUUGUGGAUGGACUCGCGGCUUAUCAGCUUGUUGGUGGGGUAGUGGCUUACCAAGGCUUUGACGGGUAGCCGGCCUGAGAGGGUGACCGGCCACAUUGGGACUGAGAUACGGACCAGACUCCUACGGGAGGCAGCAGUGGGGAGUAUGGCGCAAUGGGCGGAAGCCUGAGGCAGCAACGCCGCGUGCGGGAUGACGGCCUUCGGGUUGUAAACCGCUUUCGCCUGUGACGAAGCGUGAGUGACGGUAAUGGGUAAAGAAGCACCGGCUAACUACGUG
rnacentral:rRNA from 1 species